rnacentral:rRNA from 1 species
GUAGUCAUAUGCUUGUCUCAAAGAUUAAGCCAUGCAUGUCUAAGUAUAAACACGUUAUACUGUGAAACUGCGAAUGGCUCAUUAAAUCAGUUAUAGUUUAUUUGAUGGUUCUUGCUACAUGGAUAACUGUGGUAAUUCUAGAGCUAAUACAUGCGUACAAGCCCCGACUUCUGGAAGGGGUGUAUUUAUUAGAUAAAAAUCAACUUUGUUGGUGAAUCAUAAUAACUUCUCGGACCGCAUGGCCUCGUGCUGGCGGUGCUUCAUUCAAAUAUCUGCCCUAUCAACUGUCGAUGGUAGGAUAGUGGCCUACCAUGGUAUCAACGGGUAACGGGGAAUUAGGGUUCUAUUCCGGAGAAGGAGCCUGAGAAACGGCUACCACAUCCAAGGAAGGCAGCAGGCGCGCAAAUUACCCAAUCCCGACACGGGGAGGUAGUGACAAUAAAUACUGAUACAGGGCUCUUUUGGGUCCUGUAAUUGGAAUGAGUACAAUUUAAAUCCCUUAACGAGGAACAAUUGGAGGGCAAGUCUGGUGCCAGCAGCC